rnacentral:rRNA from 1 species
GAUGAACGCUGGCGGCGUGCCUAAUACAUGUAAGUCGAGCGAACGGACGAGAAGCUUGCUUCUCUGAUGUUAGCGGCGGACGGGUGAGUAACACGUGGAUAACCUACCUAUAAGACUGGGAUAACUUCGGGAAACCGGAGCUAAUACCGGAUAAUAUUUUGAACCGCAUGGUUCAAAAGUGAAAGGCGGUCUUGCUGUCACUUAUAGAUGGAUCCGCGCUGCAUUAGCUAGUUGGUAAGGUAACGGCUUACCAAGGCAACGAUGCAUAGCCGACCUGAGAGGGUGAUCGGCCACACUGGAACUGAGACACGGUCCAGACUCCUACGGGAGGCAGCAGUAGGGAAUCUUCCGCAAUGGGCGAAAGCCUGACGGAGCAACGCCGCGUGAGUGAUGAAGGUCUUCGGAUCGUAAAACUCUGUUAUUAGGGAAGAACAUAUGUGUAAGUAACUGUGCACAUCUUGACGGUACCUAAUCAGAAAGCCACGGCUAACUACGUG